UAUAAAUAGUGUUCCAACUAAACAACCCAAGAUGUAAAAGAUCUCUCACUGUCUCACCCCCAUAUAUAAAAAUGUUUAUCACAAACAAACAAGCGAAAACGAGGGCUGAUAAGGAAGUAUGUUAAUUUUGUUUGGUGUACAAAACAUGAAGGUUUUUUCAGAAUUAAAAAGGCCGAUUAAAUUAAAUUAAUAGAGCAGUUACUACUCCUAUAAACAAGGUAGAAAUCCUCAGACACAGAAUCCCUAGCCACUUUACUCCUAUUCUCCUCCACCACCUUUUCAUUUCCUAUCUCCUCCUCUUUUCUCUUCUGCUCAGUUCCUCUCUUUCACAUACACACUCACAAAAAAAAUUCGAUUAUGGCCGGAAGCGGUGUGGUAACACUUUACGGAAAUGGUGCACUCACCGAGA
rnacentral:lncRNA from 1 species